GAUGAACGCUGGCGGCGUGCCUAAUACAUGCAAGUCGAGCGAACAGACGAGGAGCUUGCUCCUCUGACGUUAGCGGCGGACGGGUGAGUAACACGUGGAUAACCUACCUAUAAGACUGGGAUAACUUCGGGAAACCGGAGCUAAUACCGGAUAAUAUAUUGAACCGCAUGGUUCAAUAGUGAAAGACGGUUUUGCUGUCACUUAUAGAUGGAUCCGCGCCGCAUUAGCUAGUUGGUAAGGUAACGGCUUACCAAGGCGACGAUGCGUAGCCGACCUGAGAGGGUGAUCGGCCACACUGGAACUGAGACACGGUCCAGACUCCUACGGGAGGCAGCAGUAGGGAAUCUUCCGAAAUGGGCGAAAGCCUGACGGAGCAACGCCGCGUGAGUGAUGAAGGUCUUCGGAUCGUAAAACUCUGUUAUUAGGGAAGAACAAAUGUAUAAGUAACUAUGCACGUCUUGACGGUACCUAAUCAGAAAGCCACGGCUAACUACGUG
rnacentral:rRNA from 1 species